rnacentral:rRNA from 1 species
UACAGAGGGUGCGAGCGUUGUCCGGAAUCACUGGGCGUAAAGGGCGCGUAGGUGGCGGCCCAAGUCCGUGGUGAAAGCUCGCCGCUUAACGGCGAGUCGGCCACGGAGACUGGGUGGCUCGAGCACUGUAGGGGCAGAUGGAAUUCCGGGUGUAGCGGUGGAAUGCGUAGAGAUCCGGAAGAACACCAGUGGCGAAGGCGGUCUGCUGGGCAGUUGCUGACACUGAGGCGCGACGGCGUGGGGAGCAAACAGG